rnacentral:rRNA from 1 species
GACGAACGCUGGCGGCGUGCCUAAUACAUGCAAGUCGAGCGGACUUUCAAGAAGCUUGCUUUUUGAAAGUUAGCGGCGGACGGGUGAGUAACACGUGGGCAACCUGCCUGCAAGACGGGGAUAACUCCGGGAAACCGGGGCUAAUACCGGAUAAUAUCUUCCUUCGCAUGAAGGAAGGUUGAAAGGCGGCGCAAGCUGCCGCUUGCAGAUGGGCCCGCGGCGCAUUAGCUAGUUGGUGAGGUAACGGCUCACCAAGGCGACGAUGCGUAGCCGACCUGAGAGGGUGAUCGGCCACACUGGGACUGAGACACGGCCCAGACUCCUACGGGAGGCAGCAGUAGGGAAUCUUCCGCAAUGGGCGAAAGUCUGACGGAGCAACGCCGCGUGAGCGAAGAAGGUCUUCGGAUCGUAAAGCUCUGUUGUCAGGGAAGAACAAGUACCGUUCGAACAGGGCGGUACCUUGACGGUACCUGACCAGAAAGCCACGGCUAACUACGUG